rnacentral:rRNA from 1 species
GUGUCAGCAGCCGCGGUAAUACAGAGGUGGCAAGCGUUGUUCGGAAUUACUGGGCGUAAAGGGCGCGUAGGUGGCCUUCUUAGUCAGACGUGAAAUCCCCGGGCUUAACUCGGGAACUGCGUCUGAUACUGGAAGGCUCGAGUUCGGGAGAGGAAUGUGGAAUUCCAGGUGUAGCGGUGAAAUGCGUAGAUAUCUGGAGGAACACCGGUGGCGAAGGCGGCAUUCUGGACCGAAACUGACACUGAGGCGCGAAAGCCAGGGGAGCAAACGGGAUUAGAAACCCUGGUAGUCC